CCUACGGGGGGCAGCAGUGAGGAAUAUUGGUCAAUGGGCGGAAGCCUGAACCAGCCAAGUCGCGUGAGGGAAUAAGGCCCUACGGGUCGUAAACCUCUUUUGCCGGGGAGCAAGGUCGGGGACGUGUCCCGUCCCGGAGAGUACCCGGAGAAAAAGCAUCGGCUAACUCCGUGCCAGCAGCCGCGGUAAUACGGAGGAUGGGAGCGUUAGCCGGAUUUAUUGGGUUAACAGGGUGCGUAGGCGGGCUGUUAAGUCAGCGGUAAAAAUUCGGGGCUCAACCCCGUCCGGCCGUGGAUACUGGGGGCCUUGAGUGGGCGAGAAGUAGGCGGAAUGCGUGGUGUAGCGGUGAAAUGCAUAGAUAUCACGCAGAACCCCGAUUGCGAAGGCAGCCUUCCGGCGCCCUACUGACGCUGAGGCACGAAAGUGCGGGGAUCGAACAGGAUUAGAUACCCGUGUAGUC
rnacentral:rRNA from 1 species